CCCAGACUCCUACGGGAGGCAGCAGUGGGGGAUAUUGCACAAUGGGGGAACCCUGAUCCAGCGACGCCGCGUGAGUGAAGAAGUAUUUCGGUAUGUAAAGCUCUAUCAGCAGGGAAGAAAGAAAUGACGGUACCUGACUAAGAAGCCCCGGCUAACUACGUGCCAGCAGCCGCGGUAAUACGUAGGCGGCAAGCGUUGUCCGGAUUUACUGGGUGUAAAGGGCGUGCAGCCGGGAAGACAAGUCAGAUGUGAAAUCCCGCGGCUCAACCGCGGAACUGCAUUUGAAACUGUUUUUCUUGAGUACCGGAGAGGUCAUCGGAAUUCCUUGUGUAGCGGUGAAAUGCGUGGAUAUAAGGAAGAACACCAGUGGCGAGGGCGGAUGACUGGACGGCAACUGACGGUGAGGCGCAAAAGCGUGGGGAGCAAACAGGAUUAGAUACCCGAGUAC
rnacentral:rRNA from 1 species